rnacentral:rRNA from 1 species
UGAAUAACAAUAAGAGAUGAGGUGUAAAGGUGUCACGUGUUCGGCGGCUCUGCUCUGCAGCCUAACUAUUAUUGAGUGAGUGCUCAUGGAAGGUGGAAAGCCUGUACGGUUGCUGACGCUCGCCGGCCGGUGACACUAAAGAGUCUAGUUGUUUGAGAGUACAACUCAAAGCUGGUGGUAAAUUCCAUCAAAGGCUAAAUAUACGAAGGGACUAAUAGCGAACAAGUACCAUGAGGGAAAGUUGAAAAGAACUCUGAAGAGAGAGUUAAAUAGUACGUGAAACCAUGCUGAGUAAAACAGAUAACUGUGUCGUUAUGCGGCGUCCCCUGUCAACAGCGGCCGCGGUGUCGCCGCGCCGCACGUCUAGGCAGCUGUCUCGCGUAGAUCGCUCGCUGAUUUCGUGCGGUUGGCUAGCCGAGGCCUCUGUGUAUUAGUGGGCGUCCGUGCAUUGAGAAACCACGUGGCAACGGGCUCGGUGUGUUCUAUCUGUCCGCACCUAGUGCACAGUAGCGCGCUGGCCUCGUAUGCGUACGCGUGGUUUCGCUGCGUGGCAGCUGUGAGUCGCGCUCGCCGCGAGGCUACUGUUCGCUUGUCCGCGUGCGGGUGGAUUCAGUUUCACCCCGUGCGGCCGAAGCAGCCUCGAGAGCGGCUCUCGAUCAAUGUUAGACAUUAGUUAUUUGACCCGUCUUGAAACACGGAGGUUUAGCCACCCGAAGGCGAAGUGAAAUGCGAAUCAGUUGCGAACUGCGGCGCUCGCUGCCGCAGUUAAGCGACGGGCUACUCAUGCUACCUGGCAUUUGUAGACUGAAAGCGUGAUGUUUGAGACCCGAAAGAUGGUGACCUAUGCCUAGUCAAGAUGAAGCCAGAGGAAACUCUGGUGGAGGUCUGAAGUUGUUCUGACGUGCAAAUCGAUAAUCUGAUCUGGGUAUAGGGGCGAAAGACUAAUCGAACCAUCUAGUAGCUGGUUCCUUCCGAAGUUUCCCUCAGGAUAGCAAGCGUACGCUAUUUAGUUUCAUCCAGUAAAGCGAAUGAUUAGAGGUAUUGGGGCAUAUGUAGCCUCAACCUAUUCUCAAACUUUUAAUGGGUGUGAGCGUUCUUUCUUGACUGAAGACCGCUGCUAAAUAAGUAUGCUUAGUGGGCCAUUUUUGGUAAGCAGAACUGGCGCUGUGGGUUGAACCAAUUGUUGAGUUAAAGUGCCUAAAGCUUGAAUGCGCAUGAGAUCUGUAAAGGGUGUUAGUUGC